rnacentral:lncRNA from 1 species
GAGACAAGCCUCCAAAACAAGACAAGUUCCACUAAUAUUCACCUCAUCAACCCGACCAAACUGGAGCAUUUCUUUCCCCGACAUGCCAUACGAAGCAAGGUGGAAAACACAAUCGGCCCCACGUAAGGCUUUAUCAACAUCUUUUUUUCGAGUAAGAUCCCCUAUAUCAUCACAGUCUUAGUAGCUUAAGCCAAUAAUCUACAUUAACUAGCAGUGAACGACAAAUUCUUCCAACGAAAAAAAAUAAAAAUCCAAUUCAAACCAUAAUCAUCACCAGAUAAUGAAAGAAUUUAUAAAGUGAAGAAACAAAAGCAGAGAAACCCAAAAACAAGAUGUGUUUUUGAAUUCACGGAAAUGGUCUUAGAAUUUACUGCAGUAAGUCAACCACUUGAUGGAUUGAUCAGCACAUUCUUAUUCCAUACAAAAGAAAUAGAUUUAAGAAAUAAAUAGGAAAUUGAUACAGUAAUAAAGAAAGAGAAAAAAGGAAAAGAAAACCUUGAAUGAGUCGAACCCCAUGAUUCUUGAGAUCAUCAGACCAAGGAGAAGUGAGUCGGAGAUCAAAGGCUCGGACUUGACGAGCACCUCGACGGACCAGCUCCAGACAUAAGGCGGAACCCACGAAACCCAAUCCACCUGUGACUACAAAGGUGUUGGCCUCUAUCCCUUCAUUCUCGCUCAAGUGCAUUUUGCUUUCCGUUUUGGUUCCUUUUCUUGCUCUCUCGAGAAGGGUAAAAAAAGAGAAAAUCUUUCCUGCUAUUUUUAUUAGCAGAAUAAAGUUUAACCUUUUAUACUUUUUUUUUUUAUUAAUAUUAAUAUCAAGUACAUGUACUUUGAUUAAUUUUACAGAUUUUAAAAUUAAUAAUUAUAUAUAUCUCUAGAAAAUUAAUAAUUAUAUAUAUCUCUGAUAACCUGAAACUCGUAAAUGAGAAAAAUACUUAAUUCUUUACCCUCUAUUUUUUUUUUUAAGAAUAUGUAUAAUUCAUAAUCUUUUUUUUUUAAGAAUAUGUAUAAUUUAUAAUUUUUUUUGUUUUUGUUUUUGAUACAUAUAAAAUUAUUUUAAAGAAAUGAUUUAUUGGGUAAGAAGAUGCGUUAUCUCUUAAUUUCUUAGAUUUAAAUUUUAAAUUUAUAAGAAAAUAUUAUUUUUUAUAAACAUAAGAUGAUGAAAAAGGUGUAUUUAUAAGAUCAUCUAAAAAAAAACUAGUUUUGACUAAUAUAUAAAUUCAUUUAAGAAUAUAUUUUAUUGUAGAUGAAUAAACAUAUAAAUCAAAUAUAAUGGCUAAGAAAAAAAAGAUAAAAAUUAUGCAUCAAUAAGUUGUUUGUUCAUAAGAUGCGCUGGAAAGGAAAGGAGGUCAUGGAAAAUCGGGACCUAACAUUAACAACCAGAGACUUGUUUUUUUGAGAAAUUACUGGUGAAUCUACCUUUAAUUUUUUGAGUUAUAGAACAUAUUUUUAAAAUUUGACCGGAGACGACUUGCUACAAGGCUCGAGAUAUGGAGUAGAUCUGAGUUAACCAGAUCUUUUUUAAAAGAAUUAACAAGUUUUUAACUGGUUUUUAUUGAAAUGACCCGGAUAAAUUUGGGUUUCUAUCUCAAUAUUUUCUUCAAUAUGAACCUGUUUAGGUUUUAGAUCGGCCGUCUGGCAUAACUUUUUAUAUUUUUGGCAGCUGCUUUCUUCAGUUCCCAAACGGAGCCAUGGUUUUGUUUGGUUAAUGUCCCAGGAUAUAUACAGAAAACAAAGCGUUUUUAGUUGCAGAAACAUAAACAUAGAUAUAAAAACAAAUUUGUAACAAAAUAAAAUAAAAAUACCGAGUAUCCUCGCAAGACAGAAAUCUCCAUCUCCCAUCCAUGUGGAACACGAAUUGGAUUCAUGAAUCACGUUUCAACUAGCAGUCGUGUGCUGUACUGGGAUUUUUCUAAACUAAAUGUGAGAAGUGCAGGUGAGAACAUCAUGUACUGGGGUUUAUUUGAACUGAAUCUAGAAAGGUCAUGGCUAACUCUGAAGGCAUGGUGUUUAUGGGGUAGUGGAAUCAACAACAUCACAUUUUAUGCAAAUCAUCACGGCUGUCUAAUGCCUGAAUCGCCUGCUAAAGGACAGUCGGUUUGAGUUUUAAACUGCUUAGGCGCUUAUUCCCAAGUUUAAAUGAAUCAAUCAGUAUUGAGACCAGUCAAAUUUUGAGCUCACUAGUUGAAGCUUUAAAAUCCAACUGCCAAGCUUGCUUGCUCUCUAUUGUUCUCCAUCAGGGAAACAGGAAGGUGUUUUACAAUGUGGCCUCACUCUUGGCUCUCUUCAGCAGAAAACGCAAUGAACGGAUUCCGAACACUAAUGUUUGCCAAAACCAUGCUCUUGCAUUAGCAGGAUCCACCCUUCUUGCAAGAUUCCAUGCAUAAACAGCCUCACCAAUAUGUGCGGCCAUGGCUAAAUGAAAUAUUGUUCUCACAACCCACAUUGAUCGGAAGAGGACAAGGCUUGUGGCUCUGAGAAAUGACACUGGUGGUACUAUGUCUGGCAAGUAAGCAGCACUGAACAGGAAGUUAUUCCGAUCACAACAAACAACCUUGCAUAUAUAGUAGGUCCAUCCAAAGUCUUCCUCUUCUGCUCCCGCCAGUAUGAGAUAGUUGCAGCCAUGCCCUCUCGAGGACUCGCCAUUGGAACAUAGCCAAGCUCCUGCCUGGCUUUCAGGAAAGAGAAGUAGUGGGUCACACCAACCUGCUUGAAAUACAUUAGAUUCAGUAAUACAGUGAUACGAUAUUAGAAAUAGGCACAUCAAAUUUUUUUUAUUUAUUAUUUUUCUUGAAUUGUAAGAUGAAGAAAGUAAGAAUGCUGCCAAAACAUUCAUGCAUGAUUUGCGGCGACUUGAUUUUCAGGCAUGGAUGUUAAGCAGAAAAUAUGAUAUUUUGAAACUACCUUGUACACUUCAGCAGGAAGGAUCAGCGGCUGAGGAAGCCACCAUCGAUUCAACCACGGGUAUAAUACGGUAGAGAUUGCCCAGAAAAUCCUUCCCAGCAUAAGAGCACGAGGGACAGACAAACUGGCCUUUGGUUGGUCAUAAUCCAGACUUCUAAGCAGUGGCUGGAGGAAUUCAAAAGUGCUGAUCGGAGACCCUGAAAGAGUAGCAGGUUAGAUCCUCAAUCCCUCCAUUACCACUGUAAAAACCAAGCAAUCUUUUGAAGACAAUUAUCUCACAUUGAGGACUGGAAAGAGUCUCAAGAAUUACCAAUAGUUCUAUUAAAUCGUAAAGAGGUUUGCUUUGAAGCCAAUGGUUUGGUUAUUACCAUCAGAUAUAAAGUAUGGCUGGCCAGCAUCUACUGGAUGCCCUUCAUUAUUAGGAAUGUCAUCCAAAAGCCCCAUGCUUGCCAAUAUUAGUUCAAGCACAAGGUUAUCCACAUAUACCCAGUCUGUCUUCACAUUUGAAUCACCAAUUUUGAAAGGCAGAAGGCCUAACUUGGCAAAGGAUACAAUCCUCGGAAAAUGCCUUUCUUCCCCUAGCCCAUAUAUAGCAGAAGGACGAAUCGCACACGUAAAAAGACAUUUUCCAUUGUUCUUCCUAUACAGCAAAGAAACAACCCAUAUAACUCUUUUCCUAUUAUGAAAACUUGUAAUUAUGAAAGUUAUUGAUGCCUUUCAAGUUCCGAUUCAUCACCCUUUUCUAGUUUAGCAUCUCAGAAGCUACCAGCAAAGAAAAACUAAUCAACCUCACUCCAUUUUCACGUGCAUUUUUCUUCAGCAAAGAAAAAUCUGAUAUGUCAACUCAGUCCUAUCACAUCAUCUUUACAAGAAAAGAAUAGAUCCUUAUGAGGCUUUUGUCAAAUGACGAAAUAGAGAUAUGCAUAACAAGAGUGAGGAUUCUUGAAGAACAUUAACUUACUUGAAAGGACAAGCAUUGUGCUUCAGAACCAACCGUUCAGCAAUUGAUUUGCUACGGCCGUAUGGAUCAACAUGGUCAUCAACAGGAAAGAAAGGUAAGCUUUCAUUGCCAUUCACAAUCUCCUUUCCACCGAAUACAACACCAUAUGUGCUCACAUAAACAAGCCUUCUGAUCUCAAACUCGAGACAAGCCUCCAAAACAAGAAAGUUCCAUUAAUAUUCACCUCAUCAACACGACCAAACUGGAGCAUUUCUUUCCCCGACAUGCCAUACGAAGCAAGGUGGAAAACACAAUCGGCCCCACGUAAGGCUUUAUCAACAUCUUUUUUUCGAGCAACAUCCCCUAUAUCAUCACAAUCUUGGUAGCUUAGCAGGUUGCAAGAAGUACAAAAAUCUCAGGAACUUGUCCUAGCAGUUAAGAACGAAAUCAGCGCGUGCUUGAUUCAAAAUCUAAUUCAAACCAUUAUUGAUACAAAUCCAGCAAUUAAUGAUGAAUUUGUG